CGAGGGCCAUAAAUAUCGGAAGGUUAGUGUCCUGAAACAUAACAACAUAUCUUAUAAAUGUACCAUAAAUCGUGUAAAGCCAGAGUCACCACGGAUUCUAGUGUCAAAACACUGACCGAGCAUAAACAUGUGGCAGAUGUCCGAAAGACAGAGGUUAAAGAACUACGGGUACUGUCACGGAAAAAGUCUGGAGGUGUAUCUGCUAGGCCUUCUUCCAUC
rnacentral:lncRNA from 1 species